rnacentral:rRNA from 1 species
UGAGGGUGUGAGCGUUGUUCCGAAUCACUGGGCGUAAAGGGCGUGUAGGCGGUCCGCUAAGUCUGAUGUGAAACCCCGGGGCUCACCCCCGGAAUGGCAUUGGAAACUGACGGACUCUAGUCCCGGAGAGGAGGGUGGAAUUCCUGGUGUAGCGGUGAAAUGCGUAGAUAUCAGGAGGAACACCGGUGGCGAAGGCGGCCCUCUGGACGGUGACUGACGCUGAGACGCGAAAGCGUGGGGAGCAAACAGGAUUAGAUACCCUGGUAGUCCACGCUGUAAACGAUGAGCACUAGGUGUCGUGGGUAUUGACCCCCGCGGUGCCGUACCUAACGCAUUAAGUGCUCCGCCUGGGGACUACGGCCGCAAGGUUA